CCUGGCGGCCUUAGCGCGGUGGUCCCACCUGACCCCAUGCCGAACUCAGAAGUGAAACGCCGUAGCGCCGAUGGUAGUGUGGGGUCUCCCCAUGC
rnacentral:rRNA from 1 species